rnacentral:rRNA from 1 species
AGAGUUUGAUCCUCGGCUCAGGAUGAACGCUGGCGGCGUGCCUAAUACAUGCAAGUCGAACGCACUGUGGUUCAACUGAUUUGAAGAGCUUGCUCUGAUAUGACGAUGAACAUUGCAAUGAGUGGCGAACGGGUGAGUAACACGUGGGAAACCUACCUCUUAGCGGGGGAUAACAUCUGGAAACAGAUGCUAAUACCGCAUAACACUAGCAACCGCAUGGUUGCUACUUGAAAGAUGGUUCUGCUAUCACUAAGAGAUGGUCCCGCGGCGCAUUAGUUAGUUGGUGAGGUAAUGGCUCACCAAGACGAUGAUGCGUAGCCGAGUUGAGAGACUGAUCGGCCACAAUGGGACUGAGACACGGCCCAUACUCCUACGGGAGGCAGCAGUAGGGAAUCUUCCACAAUGGACGAAAGUCUGAUGGAGCAACGCCGCGUGUGUGAUGAAGGGUUUCGGCUCGUAAAACACUGUUGUAAGAGAAGAAUAGCAUCAAGAGUAACUGCUUGGUGUGUGACGGUAUCUUACCAGAAAGGAACGGCUAAAUACGUGCCAGCAGCCGCGGUAAUACGUAUGUUCCAAGCGUUAUCCGGAUUUAUUGGGCGUAAAGCGAGCGCAGACGGUUUUUUAAGUCCGAAGUGAAAGCCCACAGCUUAACUGUGGAAGUGCUUUGGAAACUGGAUGACUUGAGUGCAGUAGAAGGAGAGUGGAAUUCCAUGUGUAGCGGUGAAAUGCGUAGAUAUAUGGAGGAACACAGUGGCGAAGCGCUCUCUGACUGUAACUGACGUGAGCUCGAAAGUGUGGGUAGCAAACAGAUAGAUACCCUG